UCUCACCUACCUGCACAGCCCACCGUCAGCUUCCGGACCCCUCCCACCUGCUUAGACGGACGCUCUUUAAAGAGCCCAGCCCCAGAAGGCGGCAGAUCGGAGACCGCCGGCACACGGCUGCGCUUUAUCAAGAUACCUGUGCAGUGAGGGCUGUAAGGGCAAAUCCUCACCGAGGCCAAUAAGGGAGAAGGGGCAGGGAGAAGGGACACCCAAGCCACACUUGCGGGAACCCACUGACUCUAUCUGCUGUGUGGGGCGUGGGUGUUGGAGACCAGGGAGCUUCCCCUGCCGGCACCUGGUGAGGGAAGGUGGCCGGAUCUUCCACACUGACAAUUCAUUUGGCAGGGGAGCACUUCUGCCCCCGCCACGAGAGCGGCGCGACAGGUAAACAGCAGCAUAAUCAUUAACACAGCUCGGAGAGCAGGAACUUCCAGCGGCCCCAAACACCAACUCCACCAAUGUGGAGUCUUUGUCAAAAGACGCCACAACACGUGGCGAGGAGCAGUACGAUCAGAGACAGCAGGCAGAGCGGUUUCUUUUACCUAAGGGAGACCUAGGUGGAGAGAGACACGUUUCCUGUACCCUCCCCAGGCUCCCGGAAAGGUGUGCGGAAGCCGGCACCCUGGCACACUGUGUCCCGAACGCGGCAGGAUCACAGAGGAAGCCGCGGUCCGACUUAGAGGAGAUGGAGCCCCCCACUCACCGAUGAGAAAACUGAGAACCACGGGGCUCGGGAGAAGGGACACGUUCGCCCUGUCCCCCUCCCCACCCAAAGCUUCCACAUCAGGGCCUCCCUCCGGGGAACCCCUGGCAGGGACUUUUGACGUUUCAUGGUGUCAGAAGUGGGAUUCAAACAGAAGACAGCGCCCCCCACCCCCACCCCACACACAGACCCCGAGGCUGCUGAGCAAACAGACCCUGGCACCCACAGAGCCCACUGAGCUCACCACUUUCUUGUCGACCCUGAAGAGUGAAGAUGUAAAGGAUCCUUUUUCUCCUCUGUCUGAAGUUAUCUAUGACUCACAACAGUUUGGUAAAGUGUAUCUUUGCAACAAAGGUUGAAACAUUUUUCUUCCCCCUCCCCCCAUUCCUCCAGAAAUUAGAAACUCUUACUAUUCUCUUUUUAAAUUGUUUUAUUUUUUAAUUAAAUACUCUCAUUUUUCAUGACAAUAUGUGUGUUUGCAUAAGUUUAAAAAUAAUCUGUUCUCCCUAUAACAAGACAAAACUGGCUUGGCUUCCUGGCCUGGAGAUGCUUUUGAAAGUCUAAUCUGAGUUCCUUUAUGAAACAUUCCAGCAAGGUAGAUUUAAAAGCACCUAUAAGGGGGCCCCUGGGUGGCUCAGUUGGUUAAGCAUCCAACUUCGGCUCAGGUCAUGAUCUCAUGGUUCACGGGUUUGAGCCCCUCUUCAGGCUCUGCCUUGACAGUUCAGAGCCUGGAGCCUGCUUCGGAUUCUGUGUCUCCGUCUCUCUUUGCCCCUCCCCUGUUCUCUCUCUCUCUCUCUCUCUCUCUCUCUCAAAAACAAAUAAACAUUUUUGAAAAGCACCUAUGUGAUCAAUCACUAUUCCUGUGUACUUAUGUAAAUAAUCAUACCAAGUAUUUGGAAACAGUCUUAAUUUGCAAGCAAAUUAGUCUUACUGUGGUUAUCUUUGAUAGACAGGGGAUGAUUACAGAGAGAAAAAUAGGCUUCGAUAAUACAUCUUUGUGGAUAUCAGAUUCUAGUGCUGUUUCUUGUCUCUGAGAUUUUGUUUUCUACCUGUAAUCUGGACUGCAUCCUGAAUUCUUCCGGUUUCCUCCAAAAUUUGGCUAGAAUUUUCCAAACUAACAUUUCCAAUUCUCCCAUUCUCUGGACUUGGAAUCUUUAUGAAACUAAAACCAUCCUUUGCCCAACGCUGGACAACUCGAUAUCAACUUCGGAGAGCUCAGCACAACAGCUCGUGUGUGGACGGCGACCCGUGCCUGGGGCCGUGUGACUGCUUGGAAAGAUCCCCAGGCACAUUCAUGCCACAAGCUAGAGAAACGGUCAGAUCACCACUGCCCUGCUCUCGCCUCAUCUGAAGAGUCUCCAACCCCGACGUCUGCAAACUCAACCAGCCGCUCUCCAAACUCAGAAACUGAAUUUGUAAUUUGCUUGAAAUAUUAACCUUUUUCUUUUGUUGCCGUAGAAAUCUCUGUCGUUAAACUACCCGCUCGCUCGCGUCGUAUAGAGGCCUGAUUUAGAUGGAGCCCAACUGAGGCACUGGCCAACACCCUCAAGUUCACCCUGUCCUAAGCAACUGUUGGGCGAUGCGACUGUUAAGACAUUAUGCAUGCUUUUGAAAAAUAACUUUAAAAAAAUAUAACCCAUUUAAUGUAUUUGAAUUGUGACAUCUUCGCUCCUGGGAACCUCGGCUCCGGGGAACUUUUCAGUCCUCGGGUAUUGCUGCCCUUACGGUCAUCAUGCUGGCCUCUCCAGUACCUUGUACACUCUCCAGGGUUUGAAAUGCGGUAGGCAGCUCCUGGUGUGCCGAAUGGUACCCAUUAGGACCAAUCCCCUGGAUGAAAUCAACAAGAACCACAGAAAUGAUGGAGACUGCGACCACGGCCCUUGGGCCUGAGGACUCAGCAAGUCUGAAGGUGAGGGAACCCCACUGACAGAGCCACCAGAAAGGGGACCCCUCUGUCAAAAUCCAAAACAAACAGAGACCCACCUUGCAAACUCCCUGAACAGACACCACCAGUUUGGUCAUACCAACGAAGCUGAGGUAGCAGACUUUGCAAGGCUAAGUUGACCCAAGUCACUUCUUGAUUGUGCCUCUGAAAAUCAGAGCAAAGCUUCCUCUCUUUCCCGAGGUUGAUGUGAGAGGACCGCUAACCAAUUCCCUGCCGUUGAGGAAAAUUCUGAUACGAAAACCAAUCCCUGUGGAGAAUGAACACUGCUUUCUCACCAUAGAAGCCGCUCCCUAAGGACACCCCCCGAGCCCCCUUCUGUGUUUUGGUUUGAGUGUUCCCGGCUUUGCCAACUGUCUUUUUGGUGUAUACACAACAAACUCAACAAUGACGGCUUUGGCCAUCCGUUGGUUUUAUUUACUUCUGUUAGGUAGGGAUGUCUGGCGCCUCCCAAGUCACAUGGCCCGCCAGCCCACCAACGCCACCCCCCCCCCCCCCAGCACUAGGAUGGGAGGCUGAGCCCCUUGACCGUUCCUGGGUCCGUCUUGCAGAAAAAGUGAGCUGCCUCAACGAGGCUGCACGUCUGAGUUCCGGACGAGGAACAGAGGAAACUCGCCAGGGCUCUGGGGGCGACCA